CUGGAGUGUAGUGGUACGAUCAUAGCUCAGCAGUGUUGCAAACUUGCCUCUCCUUCAGCUGACACCUAUAGCAGGUGGUGCCAUACACCAAAGGACAGAGGCGAAAAAAGUCCAAGCUUAGUUCACAGGUGUACUGGCUCAGUAUGUGUGUGCCAGCCAAAAAUUGGCUGCUAUUGCACUAUAGCCUCACCCGGGGGAAGGGUGUAGGGAGAAGGGAUCGGAAAGAAAAUUAUGACAGGAAAAUCACCUCCGAAAGCAGCCUCGGAUAGGGACAGCCCUACAAAAAGGAAUCUUCAAAAGCUCUUUCCCCUUGCCUAAAUUUGGGACAUCUCUGAGGAACUAUUCCUGCUUCACAGUGCACUGUGACAUUGGUUGAGGCCUCUGUUGCAACUACGUCACAGUUCAGCCUCUCCCUCUGCCCAAUCCUGCUUUCCUCACAUCCUUAUAGACCGUAUGCUCAAGAGCACAUCCCAAUAACCUACCUGCCUAGAAAUCUCAAUUUCAGUCUGUUUCCCAGGAAACCCAACCUGCAACAAUUAAUAAAAAUAAUCAAUGUAAUGAGUCAGGAUUAAAAGUUCUACAGUUUAAUUCGCACCUGUGAGUGAGAACAUGCAGUGCUUGGUUUUUUGUCCUUGCGAUAGUUUGCUGAGAAUGAUGGUUUUUCACUGUUGGAGCGGGAGAUUUUAGAAAAGAAGGGGGAGGACUGGAACUAACCAUGUGGUACUUGGCUCCUUGGAGACCAUCAGUAUGAACUCAUGUUUACCUUAAUAUAGAUACAUACGGAUACGUUAGAAAUAUUUAUAAGUAUGUGUACACACACCAAUUUGUGUGUGUGUGUGCGCAUGCACACGCGCACAUGCUCUGUCAGAUUAGAGAGCCUGGAAACCAUGAUAGCCCAGUAGCAGAGAGGGCACCAACUGCCCAAAUCUUG
rnacentral:lncRNA from 1 species